UCGAAGGAUGUCCUUGUCGCACACUGUUGCUCUCCUUGUCUAGCAUCGUUAGACAAAGAGAGCAGUAGCGUGUGACAAGGACAGAAAUACAGACGCGAUAGACAAGGAGGGUAUUGGCGUGCGACAAGGACAGACAUAUAUGCGUGAUAGACAAGGAGAGCAGCAGCGUGCAACAAGGACAGAAAUAUUUGUGUGUUAGACAAGGAAGUCACUUACGUGCGACAAGGACAGACAUAUAAGCGUGAUAGACAAGGAGAGCAGCAGCGUGCGACAAAGGACAGACAUAUACGCGCGGUAGACAAGGAGAGCGAUAGUGUGCGACAAGCAAGAAUCUUGAGAUUAUUGGAGUUGGUAUAGUUAAAUUCGGAAUAGUCAAAAAUACGAUUUCCACCGAGUCAAUCAAUCAAUCAUAUAAUGUGAAUAGGAAAGGAUAUCAGAAAAAGAGGUCACUGUUACACGGCUCUUUCUGUGUAUCGAUAAUUUUCGACUUAUAGUGGAUUGUGUCUCGUCCCGCUCCUAUUACUAAUGCUCCAAUUUCCGACUGUCAAAUUGAGAUGGUCCUACAAAAGCACACCCUUUCCUUCUCAGACGAAAUGAGCGUGAAAAUUCCUUCGAAAAAUAACAACAAAAUUGGACAACUCAGGUACCAAAACAAAGGAUUCUUUUUAAACGUAGUCACU